rnacentral:lncRNA from 12 species
AUUAGUUUAAAAUAUAUUUAUGGAGUACCUGCUCUUUUCCAGGCACUGAGUUAACCAUCCUACAUGCUGGGAGUACAAGGAUGAAUUAAAAUGCAGUCCUGGGGGGGUCCCUGGGUGGCUCAGCGAUUCAGUGUCUGCCUCCAGCUCAGGCCGUGACCCGGGUCCCGGAUCGAGUCCCGCGUCGGGCUCCCUGCACGGAGCCUGCUUCUUCCUCUGCCUGGGUCUCUGGCCGUGCAGAGGCCCUGAUCCUGCAAUGAGGGGCUCCCUGGAAGAGGUGGGACGGAUUCCUCUGGUACCUCCACAGGACGUGCUGGGAUUUCCUGGAGCCAGGAGGGCGAGCUCAGUGGGUUAUCCCUGGGCUGAGGGGCAGAACGGGGACGGAAAGGUGAGGCACGGUAGUCUCCGGUGCAGCAGGGGAGCAUGAACCUUGGCCUCUUCGGCGUCUAUUCCAAUCCCCUGACCCUACUUGGCCAAACUCCUACCAACGGGCAACAAAGAGAUGUUCAAAACGGGGGCGCUUCCUCCUUACAGCUACUCACUGUGUGAUCUUGUGGUGGGUAUGGACCUUGGUACCCAAAUUCAUUUGUUCAAGAAAUGAAAAUAAAGAAAUAAUUUUCUUUAUUUUGUUUAAAGUGAUCUCAGAUCCUCCAUGCCCCCGUCCUUCGUGGCAGAGGAAGUGAGUCCCAGGCGUGACAGGGGAUCUGUCCUGCGCUCUCUCCCAUGUCUGGCGAGCAGGCCCGGGCUUGCUUUCCUGGCACCACGAGGCUGUCCCGGGAGGGCCCCCCUCCCCCUGCCCAGGGGCCAAGGCUGCCCGGAACUCCAGGGGCACCUCCAGGUCUGGGAGAAACUUCUCACCGCUCCUCCCAGGCCCGCGUCCCUCUACACCUCGGCUUCUACGAGAGACAGUGGGAGACUUGACGUUCAGGUGCCCAGGCCCCUGCGAGUCCCGCCUGGAGAGGGGCCUCCCGUCAGCCUGCGGCCCAGGGCGACCGGCCGGGACAGGAGGCGGCGGUGCUGA